rnacentral:rRNA from 1 species
UACGUAGGGUGCAAGCGUUGUCCGGAAUUAUUGGGCGUAAAGAGCUCGUAGGCGGUCUGUCGCGUCUGCUGUGAAAACUCAGGCUUAACCCUGAGCUUGCAGUGGGUACGGGCAGACUAGAGUGCGGUAGGGAGACUGGAAUUCCGUGGUGUAGCGGUGAAAUGCGCAGAUAUCAGGAGGAACACCGGUGGCGAAGGCGGGUCUCUGGGCCGUAACUGACGCUGGAGGAG